CAGAGUUAUCCAACUCACCAAAACCAUGUGAACUUACCUAUGUUGCCUCGGCGGGGAACCUACCCGGGAGCUACCCCGUAGUAGCCUACCCGGUACCUACCCGGUAGCUACCCUGUAGUUGUAGGCUUACCCGCCGGCGGACCAUUCAAACUCUUGUUUUCAUUUUGGCACUUCUGAAUUACCAUAAAUAAGUUAA
rnacentral:misc_RNA from 1 species